UGUUUGAGUGUUUAAGUCUUGAUCUCCUUUCUCGUCGAUCUUGUUCUCUUUUUAUAGAUAAAUCUUCUCUUCUGUUUGUCCUAGGUCGAAUUGACCUAAUGGACUGGAUCCUUCCUUUUGGGCUGUGUAACUGAACUGAAUAAUUGGGCUAUCAAGCCGAGCUCGUGGCGCCGAGUAACGCAGAGUCUCACAACCAAUAGGCGUC
rnacentral:lncRNA from 1 species